UAGGGAAUCUUCCACAAUGGACGCAAGUCUGAUGGAGCAACGCCGCGUGAGUGAAGAAGGUUUUCGGAUCGUAAAGCUCUGUUGUUGGUGAAGAAGGAUAGAGGCAGUAACUGGUCUUUAUUUGACGGUAAUCAACCAGAAAGUCACGGCUAACUACGUGCCAGCAGCCGCGGUAAUACGUAGGUGGCAAGCGUUGUCCGGAUUUAUUGGGCGUAAAGCGAGCGCAGGCGGAAUGAUAAGUCUGAUGUGAAAGCCCCCGGCUCAACCGUGGAACUGCAUCGGAAACUGUCAUUCUUGAGUGCAGAAGAGGAGAGUGGAAUUCCAUGUGUAGCGGUGGAAUGCGUAGAUAUAUGGAAGAACACCAGUGGCGAAGGCGGCUCUCUGGUCUGCAACUGACGCUGAGGCUCGAAAGCAUGGGUAGCGAACAGG
rnacentral:rRNA from 1 species